rnacentral:rRNA from 1 species
AUGUCUACCUGUCUCACUGACAUGAUUGAUGCUAAUAAGUUGGAUUUUAUUGGUCUACAAGAGACUAUGAAAGAAACCAUAAACCUUCCUUUUUUUAGGAAGAUUGACCCAAACCAGAAGUUUCAUUGGGAAUGGGCUCCUUCUCGGGGGAAAUCAGAUGGUAUUCUUUGUGGGCUUAGUAAAGACAAUUUCGAUAUCCUUAUGACUAAACAUGGUAAAUAUGUCCUACAGCUAGAUCUGUUCGAUAAGAACAAAAGCUGUAGUUGGGUCUUGAUGACUGUAUAUGGUGCUGCCCACGAUGAGCAGAAACCUGAAUUCAUUGCUGAACUAUCUGCUAUGUGUCAUAAUACUAGCAAGCCAUAUCUGGUUGGGGAUUUUAACAUCAUCCGUCAUAGUGGGGAGAAGAAUAAAAAAACACCUAUGUCUCAUUUCUCUGAUGUGUUUAAUUCUGUCAUUCACCUACUUGGGCUGAGAGAGAUCUGUAUGACAGGUGGCUGUUAUACUUGGUCCAAUAAACAGGACAACCCAACUCUAGAAAAACUAGAUAGGGUUCUUAUGUCCCCUGAUUGGGAGCAUUUAUAUCCUCUUGCCUCUGUUCAUAAGUUGGUCAAAGAGCUAUCAGACCACAACCCUUGUUGUUAG